ACUAAACACUAAAAAUUUGGUGUUGUUUGAGUUUAUUUUAAAUGCCAAUUUCCUCUCCUACCUCGUGAAUACGAUCAAGCAGAAUAUAUGUCUAGUAACUGUAAUUGCAGUGUAUUUAGAACAAAAGAUAUUCCAAGAAGGAACAAACCUACCGCUUAAAUAUUUUUUGUUGAUAUCAUGUGACGUCACUUGCUAUGACGCUGAUGACCUGUAUCGGGAUUUAUACUGGACCAAAUGUAUACGCAAAAUAUUUAAACCAGAGAAAAUGGCGAAUCAUCAGUAGGUACUAAAUUAAACAUUGUUUUUCUAAACAGUUCAUAAAUUGUUCAGUAACUUAAAAUGUAUCAUAUUAUUUAGAGUAAGUUGUUUUAAAAUGUACCAAUUUUUGUCUUUUCAAUCUUGAGAAAAAAACUCACUUAAUUGGAUACUUUUGUACUUGCUAAAACAUUGAAUGCAAUCUUUGCAGAUAUCUUGCCAAUACACCAUUAUUUUUUAUAUCGAUAAUAUUUUAGGCCGCAUUUAAAAAUUGUUUUUAAUUUCAAGUGACGUCACUGACAGCUAUUUCAAACUUCAGCUAAAGCUAGUUAAAUAACAAUAUUCUGCCUAUAAUAAGACUUAUACUUCGGUAACUGAACUUCCUAAUUGACAAUGAAAAUUUAAUAACUGCUAGUGUUUGAUAUUUGAUUUCAUUCCGCGACAAUACAAGCUUUGUAAUAUUUUUAAAGUUUUUAAUAUGAUAUUGUUUUAAUAUAGAUUUAAUAGGAAUUUUAAAAGCCCGAGAAUAGAUUUUAAAUUAUUAAACUUAUCCUGUUAUUGUCAAUUAGAAUUUAAGGAGUCAAUACCAUUAUAAUAUUGUAAUAAGUACUACAAUUUUGAUCUCGGACUAAAACGAUUGCAAUACUACCUUUAACUGUAAAAAUGGCAUUAACAAGGUAAAUCAAAGUUAUAUUUGUAUAACUUAUGAAUAUUUACGUAUAUAUUGUAUUUAUAAUUUUCUCUAUAUUAGUUUGGUACUUAGUCAUAUCAAAAACAAUAGUGCUCAAGGAAGAUUUCUGUUCUCUCUUCUGGUUUUAAUAGAAUAACAUAUUUUAAUACAGUAACUACAUAAUCACUGGUCGUAUAUACUCUUAAAUAAUGAGUGUUUGAAAUUUUAGCGAAACUCGAAAACAAAACGAAACUUAACCAAAAAAUAAUCACUUAUUAUUACAUAAGAGCUCUAAAAUUACCGAUUAGUAAUUCUUUGAUAGUUUUAAUUUCCCGACCCGAAGUGGAGGAAAAUUACGUCAAAUUGUCACAAGGGCUAUACAAAUCGAUGAUUUUAAAAGCUCGAAUGUAAUUCGGUAAGAUUAUGUCAUGAAUAAAACUGUAUUUUUCAAUCAUUUUAACUAAAACUAAUAUGAUAUAUUGGCCUGAAUAUUUGCUAGAUCUGUUCCUUUUGACAAGUUGUAAAACAUUCAUUGUUUUUAAUGUUACUGAAUGUUUAUUUAAUUUUAAAUUUGCGCAACAAUGAACGACAUAUGUCGUGCUACUUGACGACGGGAAAUUAUCAAAAAUUAUUGUCGGUAUUAAUAUCAAAAGAUAGUGAGAUUAAAUUGAAGUUAAUGCGACAAUUUUCCAAAACUUGUUGCCUGGCAAUAGACACGGGAGCCCGCAGGGCUCGAGUGACUAUUGCCAAAUGGCAACAAGUUUGAGAAACAAACUGGAGCAUUAUUUUCCUAGUUAUUCUUAUUAUCGUGUGAUAUUCGAAAGAUUAUUGUUUAAUACUCGCAUACAAAAUUAAAGUUUUUGUAAACAAACAUUCAGUCACAUUUAUGACAAUUAAUGUUUUACAACUUGCUAAACCUGCUCAAAGUUAACACCAUGAGUAGGUUUAGCAACAGACGAAGAUAUGAAUAAAAUAAUUAUUGAAGAAUUAUUUAAAAAUACAGUUUUAUUCGUGAAAUCAUCUUACCGAAUUACACUCGAGCUCUUAAAAUUGCCGAUUUGUAUUGCCCUCGUGACAAUUUGACAUUAGAUGCAGAACUAAAAGUUAGUUUGGUUCAUUUUCUUAAAUGUCACAUUCGUCAAAACUAGAAAAUUCGUUGUAAACAGAAACAUGAUACUUAAAUUUAUUUUCAGUAUAAUAAUGUAAGUAGAUUAUUCCCAGUAUAAUAAUAAUCUGAUUGGACAGAAUCAAACACGUGAUGAAAAAUCUUACUACACGAUUGGAAUCAUUAACAAACAAUCGCUGAAAUUUUUAUUUUUGUAUAUUGGUAAAAAUCUCUAUGAGUGAAAUCAUCGCUGAAGUUUUCAUUUUUGUAGGUUUCUAUUGGUCAAAAUAUUUUUAUGAACGACAUAAUUCAUUUUAAUUAAACCAUUUUUUAAACUACAGAAUAUAUUACCUUAUCUAUUUGAUCUUAACCACACGUCCCUGCUAACUUCACAAUUUUGAACUUUAUUGUUACUUUUUAGGAAACUAUUCGUGAAAUCAAAAUAAAAUUUGGGAUGCAAUUAUGCACUAAAUCGAUAAAAA
rnacentral:lncRNA from 1 species